UACGGGGGGGGCAAGCGUUGUUCGGAAUUACUGGGCGUAAAGGGCUCGUAGGCGGCCAACUAAGUCGGAUGUGAAAUCCCCAGGCUUAACCCGGGAACUGCAUCCGAUACUGGAUGGCUUGAAUCCGGGAGAGGGAUGCAGAAUUCCAGGUGUAGCGGUGAAAUGCGUAGAUAUCUGGAGGAAUACCGGUGGCGAAGGCGGCAUCCUGGACCGGCAUUGACGCUGAUGAGCGAAAGCUAGGGGAGCAAACGGGG
rnacentral:rRNA from 1 species